rnacentral:rRNA from 1 species
GUAGGGAAUCUUCCACAAUGGACGAAAGUCUGAUGGAGCAACGCCGCGUGAGUGAAGAAGGUCUUCGGAUCGUAAAACUCUGUUGUUAGAGAAGAACGUGCAUGAUAGUAACUGAUCAUGUAAUGACGGUAUCUAACCAGAAAGCCACGGCUAACUACGUGCCAGCAGCCGCGGUAAUACGUAGGUGGCAAGCGUUGUCCGGAUUUAUUGGGCGUAAAGGGAACGCAGGCGGUUUUUAAGUCUGAUGUGAAAGCCUUCGGCUUAACCGAAGAAUAGCAUUGGAAACUGGAAGACUUGAGUGCAGAAGAGGAGAGUGGAAUUCCAUGUGUAGCGGUGAAAUGCGUAGAUAUUAGGAAGAACACCAGUGGCGAAGGCGACUUUCUGGACGAAAACUGACGCUGAGGCUCGAAAGCCAGGGGAGCGAACGGGAUUAGAAACCCGGGUAGUCC